CUACGGGAGGCUGCAGUGAGGAAUUUUGCGCAAUGGGGGAAACCCUGACGCAGCAACGCCGCGUGAGUGAAGAAGGCUUUCGGGUCGUAAAGCUCUGUCAGAUAGGAAAAAAGUUCAUAUGUAAAUAGCUUAUGAAUCUGAUGGUACUAUCAGAGGAAGCACCGGCUAACUCCGUGCCAGCAGCCGCGGUAAUACGGAGGGUGCAAGCGUUGUUCGGAAUUACUGGGCGUAAAGGGCGUGUAGGCGGUAUGGUAAGUCAGAUGUGAAAGCCCUGGGCUUAACUCAGGAAGUGCAUUUGAUACUGCCAUCCUUGAGUAUGGGAGAGGGGAGUAGAAUUCCCAGUGUAGAGGUGAAAUGCGUAGAUAUUGGGAGGAAUACCCGUGGCGAAGGCGACUCUCUGGACCAAUACUGACGCUGAGACGCGAAAGCGUGGGGAGCAAACAGGAUUAGAUACCCGCGUAGUC
rnacentral:rRNA from 1 species